AUGAUAUAUGUUUUCUUGGUGCAGUGUGAAGCUGACAUUACAGAUUAAAAGCAUUUAAUCAAAGCAAAAUUUUACAGGUUUUUGUAUAAAUGUAUAGUUUAAUUAUGUGACCUAUCUUUUCUAUGGUAACUCAGCAGAUUUGUUGUGGAAUUCUUUGCAUAAUUGUUUUAAUUAUUCAAAUAGGAGACCUUUCAAGCAUCAACAGUCUGUCUUUUUAAAUGUUUUUGCAGCACUAGUAGCCUUCAUUUUAUUAUUUUUAAUAGUAAGCAGACAGGAAAUGGUGGAAAGAGUGGGGGAAGGGUGUGCAGACAAGGUCGCCGGGACAGGGAUUUGAUCCAUCAACAGUCUGUCUGAGACAUUCAGAGGUGGACUUGCUGGUGUGCUUUGGACCAUUGUCCUGCUUUGACUGGACCAUUUCUGGACCUUCUUUAUUUUGAGACAUCCUUGCUGGUAUGCUGUGGAUCAUUGUCCUGCUGCAUAAUCCAAGUGCGGUUCAGAUGAAGCUCAUGAACUGAUGGCUGGACAUUCUUCUUCAGGGUUUACUGGUAGAAGUGGUUCUAACCAGUCUAUUCCUUUGUGUCUUUUUUUCUUCUAUGUUCUUGAAUUUUGUUUAAAUUGGGCAAUAAUGUGUUUGCUUUUGAGAUCUUUUCACCUACUUCAUGCUGUCAGACAGGUUCUAUUGAAGUGAUUUUGGUCCAGGAGUAAUAAGCUGGGAGUGGCUUAUAGCUGGAACUCAGCUUUACAGAAAAUGUUGUUAAUGACAGUUAAUUCAUUAUUUAAUAACAGUGAUGAUUAUUUUUUCCCAUAUUUUCAAAACCGCAUUCUGUAUUCACUCAGAAUUCGGUAUUUUGUUGUUAUAAUAAAAUGUGCUUCAUGAUUUAAAAACAUUUAUAUGUGACAAUAAAGCAAAAAACAGAAACAAACAGAUGACAAA